AGAGUUUGAUCCUGGCUCAGGAUGAACGCCGGCGGUGUGCCUAAUACAUGCAAGUCGUACGCACUGGCCCAACUGAUUGAUGGUGCUUGCACCGGAUUGACGAUGGAUUACCAGUGAGUGGCGGACGGGUGAGUAACACGUGGGUAACCUGCCCCGGAGCGGGGGAUAACAUUUGGAAACAGAUGCUAAUACCGCAUAACAACGAAAACCACAUGGUUUUCGUUUAAAAGAUGGCUUAUGCUAUCACUCUGGGAUGGACCCGCGGUGCAUUAGCUAGUUGGUAAGGUAACGGCUUACCAAGGCGAUGAUGCAUAGCCGAGUUGAGAGACUGAUCGGCCACAAUGGAACUGAGACACGGUCCAUACUCCUACGGGAGGCAGCAGUAGGGAAUCUUCCACAAUGGGCGCAAGCCUGAUGGAGCAACACCGCGUGAGUGAAGAAGGGUUUCGGCUCGUAAAGCUCUGUUGUUGGAGAAGAACGUAUCUGAGAGUAACUGUUCAGGUAGUGACGGUAUCCAACCAGAAAGUCACGGCUAACUACGUGCCAGCAGCCGCGGUAAUACGUAGGUGGCAAGCGUUAUCCGGAUUUAUUGGGCGUAAAGCGAGCGCAGGCGGUUGCUUAGGUCUGAUGUGAAAGCCUUCAGCUUAACCGAAGAAGUGCAUCGGAAACCGGGCGACUUGAGUGCAGAAGAGGACAGUGGAACUCCAUGUGUAGCGGUGGAAUGCGUAGAUAUAUGGAAGAACACCAGUGGCGAAGGCGGCUGUCUGGUCUGCAACUGACGCUGAGGCUCGAAAGCAUGGGUAGCGAACAGGAUUAGAUACCCUGGUAGUCCAUGCCGUAAACGAUGAGUGCUAGGUGUUGGAGGGUUUCCGCCCUUCAGUGCCGGAGCUAACGCAUUAAGCACUCCGCCUGGGGAGUACGACCGCAAGGUUGAAACUCAAAGGAAUUGACGGGGGCCCGCACAAGCGGUGGAGCAUGUGGUUUAAUUCGAAGCUACGCGAAGAACCUUACCAGGUCUUGACAUCUUGCGCUAACCUUAGAGAUAAGGCGUUCCCUUCGGGGACGCAAUGACAGGUGGUGCAUGGUCGUCGUCAGCUCGUGUCGUGAGAUGUUGGGUUAAGUCCCGCAAUGAGCACAACCCUUGUUACUAGUUGCCAGCAUUAAGUUGGGCACUCUAGUGAGACUGCCGGUGACAAACCGGAGGAAGGUGGGGACGACGUCAGAUCAUCAUGCCCCUUAUGACCUGGGCUACACACGUGCUACAAUGGACGGUACAACGAGUUGCGAACUCGCGAGGGCAAGCUAAUCUCUUAAAGCCGUUCUCAGUUCGGACUGUAGGCUGCAACUCGCCUACACGAAGUCGGAAUCGCUAGUAAUCGCGGAUCAGCAUGCCGCGGUGAAUACGUUCCCGGGCCUUGCACUCACCGCCCGUCA
rnacentral:rRNA from 1 species